AUUGGACGCUGGCGGCAUGCUUUACACAUGCAAGUCGAGCGGCAGCGCGGGGGCAACCCUGGCGGCGAGCGGCGAACGGGUGAGUAAUGCAUCGGAACGUAUCCUCGAGUGGGGGAUAACCCAGCGAAAGUUGGGCUAAUACCGCAUGAGCUCUGAGGAGGAAAGCGGGGGACCUGCGAGGGCCUCGCGCUGGAGGAGCGGCCGAUGUCCGAUUAGCUAGUUGGUGGGGUAAAGGCUUACCAAGGCGACGAUCGGUAGCUGGUCUGAGAGGAUGAUCAGCCACACUGGGACUGAGACACGGCCCAGACUCCUACGGGAGGCAGCAGUGGGGAAUUUUGGACAAUGGGGGCAACCCUGAUCCAGCCAUGCCGCGUGAGUGAAGAAGGCCUUCGGGUUGUAAAGCUCUUUCGGACGGAACGAAAUGGGCGGGACUAAUACUCCUGUCUGAUGACGGUACCGUAAGAAGAAGCACCGGCUAACUACGUG
rnacentral:rRNA from 1 species